UACAGGAGGGGCAAGCGUUAUUCGGAAUUAUUGGGCGUAAAGGGCGCGUAGGCGGCUUGGCAAGUGGAAGGUGAAAGUCCCUCGGCUUAACCGAGGAACUGCCCUCCAAACUGCUUGGCUUGAGACCGGGAGAGGUGAGUGGAAUUCCCAGUGUAGCGGUGAAAUGCGUAGAUAUUGGGAGGAACACCGGUGGUGUAGACGGCUCUCUGGACCGUAACUGACGCUGAGACACG
rnacentral:rRNA from 1 species